AAUCAGGCAGUCUAUGUUCGAUCGUGGCAUAAUGAAGUCGUAUGUGACGCACACCACAAUACUGGACCCAAGUGUGUCCCCGGUGAAGACAUCGCGAGGACAACCUGCUAACCUUACCUAUAUCUGAGUAUCACAAAGGGUUCAAUAUACUGUGGGAUGGGUUCAUGCAACCCGAAAAGAACAAUCAGGCAGUCUGUAUUCGAUCGUUGCAUAAUGAAGACUUUUAUUUUUUAUAUUAUCAAUAAAUGUUCUUAAUAAACUACGGAUUAUUUAAUUGAAAACUAAAACGUAAACUCAACAAUACUGGACCCAAGUGAAGACAACGUGAGGACA